AUGGUCGAGACGUCGGGCGGGAGGUGGAGGCUGCACCUCCACGGCCAGCGGCGGAGCGCGGCGGCCUUCCUGGCCGCCAACAAGACCCUGCUCGCCGCCGUGUGGGUCGCCGGGUUCGCGCUCGUCUUCCUGUGGCAGAGCGCCUCCGUGUUCGUCGCCGGGGGCGGGGGCGGGCCCCGCCCGGCGCCCGCGCCGUCGCGCCCGGCGCCGCGGCUGCGCCCGAUGGCGUACAACCUGACCGACUUCGGGGGCGUCGGGGACGGGCGGGCGGUGAACACCCGGGCCUUCGAGCGCGCCGUGGAGACCGUCUCGGCCUUCGCGGACCAAGGCGGGGCGCAGCUCAAUGUGCCGCCCGGCCGCUGGCUCACGGGCCCCUUCAACCUCACCAGCCACAUGACCCUGUUCCUCGCCGAGGGCGCCGAGAUCCUCGGCAUUACGGACGAGAGGGAUUGGCCGCUGAUGCCAGCACUGCCAUCUUACGGAUAUGGGAGGGAGCGCAAAGGACCUCGCUUCGGGAGUCUAAUUCAUGGACAGAAUUUGAAAGAUGUUGUCAUUACAGGACACAAUGGUAGCAUAAAUGGCCAGGGUGAAGUUUGGUGGUUGAAGCAUCGCAGAAGAAUGCUGAAGAACACGAGACCUCCACUUGUACAACUGAUGUGGUCCAAGGACAUUGUUAUUACAAAUAUAACGUUGCGGAAUUCACCUUUCUGGCACUUCCACCCAUAUGAUUGCACGAAUGUUACUGUUUCGGAUGUUACAAUCUUAGCUCCUAUUUCCGGUGCUCCGAACACAGAUGGCAUAGAUCCAGAUUCUUGUGAGGAUGUCCUAAUUGAGAAUUGCUACAUAUCUGUUGGUGAUGAUGCAAUUGCUAUAAAGAGCGGAUGGGAUCAAUAUGGGAUUGCAUAUGGGCAGCCGUCUUCUAACAUCUUAAUACGCAAUGUGACAGUCCGAUCUUUGGUUAGUGCUGGAAUUUCAAUUGGCAGUGAGAUGUCUGGUGGAGUUGCAAAUGUUACGGUGGAGAAUGUACGCAUCUGGGAUUCAAGGCGAGGCGUGAGAAUAAAGACUGCCAUAGGAAGAGGAGGCUACAUCCGCAAUAUCUCCUACAGCAACAUAACCUUCGACAAUGUUCGUGCUGCAAUUGUGAUAAAGGUUGACUACAAUGAGCAUGCUGAUGAUGGGUAUGACAGAAAUGCCUUCCCAGAUAUCACAGGCAUAUCAUUCAAAAAAAUACACGGGUGGGGUGUUCGUGUGCCUGUCCGUGCUCAUGGCAGCAAUUACAUCCCCAUCAAGGAUAUCACCUUCCAGGACAUGUCAGUAGGCAUCAGCUACAAGAAGAAGCAUAUAUUCCAAUGCUCCUACAUCGAAGGCCGUGUUAUCGGGUCAGUAUUUCCAAAACCAUGUGAGAAUUUAGAUGUCUACGAUGAGCAAGGGCAGCUUCUCAAGAGUGGGGCAGUGCUGAACAGUACGGAAGUUGAUUAUGAUAUAUGA
rnacentral:rRNA from 1 species